rnacentral:lncRNA from 1 species
ACCCGCGAAGUAAGGUCCCAUUUAGCUAGUUUACCAACACUUCGUGAAAAUGAAGUAUAUCUAGAAGACCACACUAUAGGAAUAUUAUUAUUGGAUUUCAAAAGGCGUCGAAGCGAAGCAAUUUCCUCUUCUACUUGCAGUGAAAUCGGGAUAUGUCGGUACUCCUAACACAAGUAGGAAUGAAUGAUGGUUGUCGAAUUUGUGUAAAUUGAGCACUUGAUAUUAGGCUGAUUAUUUAGAAGCCACUUGAGCAAUUAUUUAUUCAACUUAUAUAAUUGCUUACAUUAGGGGUGUGUUUGGUUCGAAGUCGGAAUCGGAAUCAGAAUCAGAAUCGAAAUAAGCUGGAAUUGGAAUCGGAAUGACUCGUUACCUAAUUCUGUUUGGUUCAUCACCUGAAUCGGAAUCGGAAUAAAUCAUUUCCAUUGUUGGUGUUUGGUUCAGGUAGAUAUAAAAAAACGUAAUCAAAUUAAUAUACUAACUUUAUCUUUAUAAUAUAUUAAUUUAAAUUCAAAUUGAAAAUUAAAUAUUAAAAUUUUACGUCAAAAUUUUGAAAUAAUGUCAAAAUUUUAAAUCUUUUUUUUUUAGAAAAAAUUAAACUUUGAAGCUGAGGGGAUAAUUCAAAAUAUAAAACUAAAUUUUGAUUUAUUCAAAUUCCAACUUAAAAUUUANUCAAGUUCAAAUUAAAAUUUAAAAUUAUAUAUUUAAUUUCUAAAUUUAAACUCAUAUUUUAAUUAAAAAGUUGAAAAAAUAAAUUUAAUCUAAAUAAAUAUUCAUUACGUCCGGAUUCAACUUUCAAUCCGGCCUCCUAGGCCGGAUUGAAAAAAUAGGUGAUUGGGGGAUUCCCAUUCCACUCGGAAAUCGGAAUCGGAAUGGAACUCCCAUAUACCAAAUACCAACAAACGGAUUCGCACAUUUCAAUUCCGAUUUUAAGGUAAAAAAGAAGCGAAUCAAACAUGCCUAGAAUUAACCGUAUUUAACUCAAUGAUAGAGCACGGAAUGUAAAUUGAACCAAAUCGUAAAGAAU